GGGGAUCAAAUCAACGGAUGUAACCGGUGAGCAGAUUCAUAAGAUAACAGUCCAGAUUAAUUGCACCAGCAUGAAGUCUCUUUGCCAGUAGGAUCAUAACAGGCAUUAACAACGUCUUCAGCCAGAAGUCAAUAUCCAACUUACUAUCUGAUACAUCAUGGCUGAACUUGUUCCAGUUGAUCAAGCAGCAUCAAUAUUUAAAGAACACAAACUAGAAACCAGACGAUUAAAUAGGACUUCACAACCAGGAUAACCAGAGUCAACCACCUCCAAGCCACAGAAAUAUUCUUUGAUCUUCCAACCCAAGUUUGUUAUGUGUUGUAUUGUACUAUUUUUAAACAUUUUAAACAUAACAAACAGACUGCAGGCUAUAACAACAAAUGUUUGUACAAUAAUUAAAGAUAACAACAAAUGUUUGUACUAUUUCUAAACAUAACAAACAGACUGCUGACAAUAACAACAAAUAUGUGUACUGUUAUUAAAGAUACCAACAAAUAUUUGUACCAUUUAUGAACAUUACAAACAUACUUUAGACUAUAACACCAUUAGACUUGAAAAAGACAAACAUGAACAUGGUGUAAGUCUAUAUAAUGAUAUUUCAUUUUCUUAAAGGAAAGACGAGGCCCAUUCUAUAUGUCAAAUAUGUCCUAUUAGUGAAUAACCAUAUUCAACAUUCUCCAUAUCCUAUUAGUGAAUAACCAUAUUCAACAUUCCCUAUAUCCUAUUAGUGAAUAACCAUAUUCAACAUUCCCUAUGUCCUAUUAGUGAAUAACCAUAUUCAACAUUCUCUAUGUCCUAUUAGUGAAUAACCAUAUUCAACAUUCCCUAUGUCCUAUUAGUGAAUAACCAUAUUCAACAUUCUCUAUGUCCUAUUAGUGAAUAACCAUAUUCAACAUUCUCUAUGUCCUAUUAGUGAAUAACCAUAUUCAACAUUCCCUAUGUCUUAUUAGUGAAUAACCAUAUUCAACAUUCCCUAUGUCUUAUUAGUGAAUAACCAUAUUCAACAUUCCCUAUGUCUUAUUAGUGAAUAACCAUAUUCAACAUUCCCUAUGUCCUAUUAGUGAAUAACCAUAUUCAACAUUCUCUAUCUCCUAUUGGUGAAUAACCAUAUUUAACAUUCCCUAUGUCCUAUUAGUGAUUAACCAUAUUCAACGUUCUCUAUGUCCUGUUGGUGAAUAACCAUAUUCAACAUUCUCUAUGUGCUAUGAAAAAUGUAACACUUAUGUGGAUUAACGACCAAUCUACUUCCACAAAGCUCUUAGCGUCCAAGACAAUAAAAAUGAAAUAAAAACAUCUUGAUUUCGAGUAUUGACCACAGCAAUCAUAAGAAAUCCCCCCUUCAAUAAAUUUGAUAACAACGAAAUUAGUUCAUAGGUGAAAUAGUUAUUGUGACGUUGUAUAUUGCCAAAUGAUUUAUUAUAGGUCAUUGCAGAAACAUUUUCUAUAAUUGGAAAUCUGUUUGUAGCUUACAUUUAUAUAGUAAACAAGUUGUCUUAAAAUUGUGAGAUUGAAAGGGUCACCAGUUUUGGAACUGGAUACAAUUAUAACUAGCAAAUUGUUAAAAUUGAAACCUAUUUUAUUGUUCCUAUCUUUGUGAACGUCAUCCUCU
rnacentral:sRNA from 1 species